ACGGGGUGCUAGGAGCUGAUCACUUCGGUGUGAAGCACUUAGUUACCUAGUGGCGAACGGGUGAGUAACACGUAGGUAACCUGCCCUUAGGAUUGGGAUACUCCCGGGAAACCGGGCUCAAUACCGAAUAUGAUUCCGGGGUGAAAUGCCCAGGGAUAAAAGCUGCUGGCAACAGUGGCGCCUAUGGAGGGACCUGCGGCCUAUCAGCUUGUUGGUGAGGUAACGGCUCACCAAGGCUAAGACGGGUAGCCGGACUGAGAGGUUGAUCGGUCACACUGGAACUGAGACACGGUCCAGACUCCUACGGGAGGCAGCAGUGGGGAAUUUUGCGCAAUGGGCGAAAGCCUGACGCAGCGACGCCGCGUGGGGGAAGAAGGCCUUCGGGUUGUAAACUCCUUUUUUUACGGGAAAAAAGCCGCAAGGUGACGGUUCCCGUAAGAAUAAGCCACGGCUAACUCUGUGCCAGCAGCCCGCGGUAAGACAGAGGGGGCAGCGUUGUUCCGGAUUUACUGGGCUUAAAGGGCGUGUAGCGUCCCUGAUAAAUCAAAAGUGGGAACCCUGGGGUUCAACCCAGGAAGGGCAUUUUAAACUGUCAGGAUUGGAUUCUGCAG
rnacentral:rRNA from 1 species